GACGGCCUGACUCUUAACACCACCCAUGGAGCCGCAGGAAGAGGCGCGAACGCUCGGGGAGUCUGCGCCUCGGCCUUCUGGCGCCUGGGGAUUACCGACGCCGGGUGAAGAGGAGCGGUCCGAGGGCGGUGCGCGGCUGGCGGCGCCUCCCGCGGGCGCAUUGGGGGACAGCACGAGUGCAGACGGGCUGUGGGGGCUGCCGGUGGAGCACGCGGAGCGCAGGCCGGAGUGCAGCCGCUGCAGCCGUCCCCAGAAAGUGUGCUUAUGUCCAUAUCUGCCAGUUCGUCCACUCCAGAUCUCCACCCACUUGUACAUAAUCCAGCAUCCAGCAGAGGAAAGCAAAGUGUUGCGCACAGUCCCUCUGCUAGCAGCAUGCCUUCCCCCGGACAAAUGCACAGUCAAGAUUGGCCGCCGCUUCAGUGAAGAGCGACUCUGCUUCGCCCUCUUCAGGCUCUGUGUUCUUUCCAGCUUCAGCAUGGUGCUCAGGUUCGCCUCAGCAAGGAGUAUCUUCUCAAGAAUGGAUUAUAUCCCAAGCCUAUGCCAAAGAACAAACGCAAACUCAGGAAGAUGGAGCUGUUAAUCAACAGUGUCAAAAUUUAGCACACUUGUCCCUGCGUGCUGGUUUUCCUGUCAUUGGCUGACAAGACUGUGUUCCAUCUUCCCAGUUCUGACUUUUACUCUGAAGAAGGAGGAACGCUGGCCCACCCUAGUGCUGAAGGACGAGGUCUGCUCCACAGCAUCUAAUGGUUCACCCCACUGACCGAGAAGCGGUUUCACGCUGUCUCUGUUUUUGUUUUAUUUUUCUUUUUGAUUUUUCAAGACAAGGUUUCUCUGUGUAGCCUGUAGACCAGGCUUGCCUCAAACUCAGAGAUCUGGCUGCUUCUGCCUCCCAAGUUCUGGGAUAAACAGCAUGUGCCACCUUUGUCCAGAUACUGGAUCCGCUUUUAAACAUGUGCUUCCAAUACAUUUUUUAAAAGGUCUAUUCAAAAAAGGGUUACUUGUUAGUCUAGACUAAGGACCUGUUGUUCGUAAAAUGAAGAAAAUUUUGUCUGGGAACAUGUUCCCGUCAGUGUUUAUACAUAGGUGGGUGUAGGUUAGUGAUGGGGUAUAGCCAUGACACUAAUGCUUCAGCCCAGUGAAUGAAAUUCAGAGUGUGACGUAGUGACACAGAGGGCUGUGUGUGUUAUUCAGGAGGAGAAAAGAACAGGAAAACUUUACCCUUCAGGGUUCUCCUGGACUCAGCGAAUCCACGCAGUGGGACUUACAUCUUCUCUUAGUGGCUGAAUUCCUGAGGACUCCAUCUAAUUUUGAAAUAGCCUGUAUUCUCAAUGGGAGAUGCUGUGCAUAACUUCAGGUUUUCAGUGUCCAUUGAACAAGUUAACUGGUGGUAAGAAGUUUUUGAUGAAGUUUCUACAUGAAAAUGACUGAAGUAAAUUAUAAUACAGCUAUCAUUUCUAUUAGCUCUAUUUACAUUUUUUAAAGAGAAAAAACUUUCAAUGUGAAAGAUCGAUUCCCUCACCUUAUUAGAAUAUUUACUAAUAUUUUGUAAAGAAUAAGAGAAUUUAUAUAUUUAUACAAAAUUUACAGUUAAGCAUACACUUUGGCAAGAUCAAGACGUUUCAUUUUGACUGUUAUUCACGAUUAUUCAAGUUUCCUGAAUCCAGUGUGAGAGUGGAAGGGAAAACCAAGCAUGCAUUUUUGUGGUGAUUUUGAUAAAUACUUCUCUGUGUGGCAUGAACACACCAGUUUCUGAUUAUUUUUAUGCCCAUUUGUUUACUAUUGGCUCAGAUCAGCUUGGCUGGUCCCAAUUAGAAUGCUAACAAAUAUGUAGCAAAUUAUGGAAAAAUAUUAAAAUUUAGGUUUGUCUUCAAUUGCUGACUUAUAUUUGCAUUUAAAAAUAAGUUGGUCUUUUAUAACCUAAAUGUCUAGUAGCAAUUGAUUAUUUGUGUAAUAAUGAAAAAAUAGUAUAAUGUAUAAUGGCUUCUUAAGGAAUGAGAUAAAACUAUCAUAAUUUUUUAUGUUGGAAAUAAACUUUAUAAACUCC
rnacentral:lncRNA from 1 species